GAUCAUGGCUCAGGAUGAACGCUAGCGGCAGGCUUAAUACAUGCAAGUCGUGGGGCAGCAGGUUUGUAGCAAUACAGAUGCUGGCGACCGGCAAACGGGUGCGGAACACGUACAGAACCUUCCUUUGAGCGGGGAAUAGCCCAGAGAAAUUUGGAUUAAUACCCCAUAGUAUAAUGAAGUGGCAUCACUUUAUUAUUAAAGAUUUAUCACUCGAAGAUGGCUGUGCGGCUGAUUAGGUAGUUGGCGGGGUAAAGGCCCACCAAGCCUGCGAUCAGUAACUGGUGUGAGAGCACGACCAGUCACACGGGCACUGAGACACGGGCCCGACUCCUACGGGAGGCAGCAGUAAGGAAUAUUGGUCAAUGGAGGCAACUCUGAACCAGCCAUGCCGCGUGGAGGAUGAAGGUCCUCUGGAUUGUAAACUUCUUUAUAUGGGACGAAAAAGGCUUUCUAAGUCGUCUGACGGUACCAUAUGAAUAAGCACCGGCUAACUCCGUG
rnacentral:rRNA from 1 species